rnacentral:rRNA from 1 species
UACAGAGGUCUCAAGCGUUGUCCGGAUUUACUGGGCGUAAAGAGCGCGCAGGCGGCCAAGUCAGUCGAAUGUGAAAGCCCCCGGCUCAACUGGGGAGGGUCAUUCGAUACUGUUCGACUCGAAGGCAGGAGAGGUAAGUGGAACUCCGAGUGUAGAGGUGAAAUUCGUAGAUAUUCGGAAGAACACCAGUGGCGAAGGCGACUUACUGGUCCAUUACUGACGCUGAGGCUCGAAAGCGUGGGGAGC